GGCGCUCACGGUGAGGAAGCCCCGAGCUCCCGGGACGCAGACAGGGUGUGCAGGGCCGUAGCUCGGGCCUGUGUAUGCACGUGUGCGUGUGUUUGACGCCAGGACAAGGCGGCGGUGUGCGCGGCGAGGAGGCUGCGACAGCUGUAUAGACCCCAGCUGCAGUGAAAUGGCCAUCAAAAAGGGAAGGGAUAAUCGAGUGGUGGAAUAAAAUCUGCAAACAGAAAAAGCACAGACCUGUUCUCGGAACGAGGCUUUUCGAGUUACCACCAUGACUGAAGGCUAAGAGCAACUUGCUUGCGGAUUAAAGAUCACUUGGAGAGAGAGGUCCAGUGAGCAACAACGGCCAGAAAUUUCAGGGAGACCAUCUUGAACCAUCCAGCCUCCACCAAGCCAACAGCUGACAGCUGUCACAUGAAUAUGAUCAGCAGAAGAACCACUCAGGCAAGCCAAGCCCAAAUUGCCAAGCCCCCCAAAUAAUGAGCUAAUUAUUUUUUAUUUUAAGCCAUAAACUUUUGAGGUGGUUAUAUAGCAAUAAAUAACUGAAACAGGUGUUUAACUUUCCAGACUUUUUAAAUGACCAUAUUGAUAUAAUUGUAUUGUUCAACCUGUUUUGUAAAGUGAUUUCUCUGAUACAGUAUCUUGAAAAUAUUCCUUAUCCUUAACUAUUUUCUACAACUUUGCAUUUGUCUAUCUUAGUAUUAUAUUACAUGGAUAUGUGGUAACUUAUUUAACUACUAACUUCCCUUUGCAAUUCUUUUUCCUUGCUGUCUAGCUCCCAUGUCUUGACUAACUUUACAUUCCCCUCCAGGACCUUAUGGG
rnacentral:lncRNA from 1 species